GACGUAGGGCGCGAGCGUUGUCCGGAUUUAUUGGGCGUAAAGAGCUCGUAGGCGGCUUGUUGCGUCGACUGAAACUCGACGCUCAACUGCGGGCUGCAGUCGAUACGGGCAGGCUAGAGUUCGGUAGGGGAGACUGGAAUCCUGGUGUAGCGGUGAAAUGCGCAGAUAUCAGGAGGAACACCGGUGGCGAAGGCGGGUCUCUGGGCCGAUACUGACGCUGAGGAGCGAAAAGCGUGGGGGAGCGAA
rnacentral:rRNA from 1 species